rnacentral:rRNA from 1 species
CCGGGAAACUGGGGCUAAUACCCGAUAGGCGGAAAAGCCUGGAAUGGUCUUCCACCUAAAGGGCUUCAGGAACAUGCUCCUGAGGUUGCCUAAGGAUGAGACUGCGGCCGAUCAGGUUGUUGGUGGGGUAACGGCCUACCAAGCCUAUAACCGGUACGGGCCCUGAGAGGGGGAGCCCGGAGAUGGGAACUGAGACAAGGUCCCACACCCUACGGGGUGCAGCAGUUGCCAAACCUCUACAAUGCACGAAAGUGUGAUAGGGUUAUCCCGAGUGCCGUCCGAUGAGGAUGGCUUUCCCCCGGUGUAAGGAGCCGGGGGAAUAAAGGGGGGGCAAGACUGGUGUCAGCCGCCGCGGUAAUACCAGCCCCCUGAGUGGUAGGGACGAUUAUUUGGCCUAAAGCGUCCGUAGCCGGCUUAGCAAGUCCUUCGUUAAAUCCGGCGACUUAAUCGUCGGGAUGCGAGGGAUACUACUGGG